rnacentral:rRNA from 1 species
UACGUAGGGUGCAAGCGUUACUCGGAAUUACUGGGCGUAAAGCGUGCGCAGGCGGUUUUGCAAGUCUGUCGUGAAAGCCCCGGGCUUAACCUGGGAAUUGCGAUGGAGACUGCAAGGCUUGAAUCUGGCAGAGGGGGGUAGAAUUCCACGUGUAGCAGUGAAAUGCGUAGAGAUGUGGAGGAACACCGAUGGCGAAGGCAGCCCCCUGGGUCAAGAUUGACGCUCAUGCACGAAAGCGUGGGGAGCAAACAGG